rnacentral:rRNA from 1 species
UGGGGAAUAUUGCACAAUGGGCGAAAGCCUGAUGCAGCGACGCCGCGUGAGGGAUGACGGCCUUCGGGUUGUAAACCUCUUUCAGCAGGGAAGAAGCCACAAGUGACGGUACCUGCAGAAGAAGCGCCGGCUAACUACGUGCCAGCAGCCGCGGUAAUACGUAGGGCGCAAGCGUUGUCCGGAAUUAUUGGGCGUAAAGAGCUCGUAGGCGGUUUGUCGCGUCUGCUGUGAAAGCCCGGGGCUGAACCCCGGGUGUGCAGUGGGUACGGGCAGACUAGAGUGCAGUAGGGGAGACUGGAAUUCCUGGUGUAGCGGUGGAAUGCGCAGAUAUCAGGAGGAACACCGAUGGCGAAGGCAGGUCUCUGGGCUGUUACUGACGCUGAGGAGCGAAAGCAUGGGGAGCGAACA